UGAAGAGAAAAUAUGGGAGGAUCACUCCUAACUUCAAAGCCUGUUAAUAUGUUUAUUACGUGUAAGUCGGAGACUUUGUACAACCACUGGAUUGACUUAAGUCAAAGGGAAAAUUCUUCUUUAUAAAAGAAAGGUAGUUAAUAUCGCUAAAAACUGUGGUCAGACUUCUAAGAUUAACAUCCUUGGAUGUUAAAUGAAUACUCAGUUUCUUUAUGGCCAAGAAUGGAAUAUUCAUGCUUUCCUUUCUUUCACUUCUCUUCAAAGCAACAGGCAAACGACCUCUGUUAGUGUGAGUUUUGGCAGUACAGAGAGUGUUUUCAAUGAUAUCCCAUGAAUUUCACCUAUGAGAAGAAUGAAUCUGGCAAACACACAUCGUAAUCUCCUCCAAAAACUCUCCAGUGCUGAUUAGCUUUUGAAUCGUGUCACAACUGCUAGUUGACAUAGCACAAUUUCAAUUUUUUGGCCAUCUAUAUAAUUACUAAAAAUGUUUGUUGAGGCAGUACUGUACCAUAGUACAUUUGUGAUUUUCAGUGAAGUAACUUGAAAUAUGACUCUCCUUAUGGUGAAACAAGUUAUUUAUGUCUUUCUGUGCCUCAGCUUCCUAAUGUGUAAAAUGGAAGUAACAUUGCGUGAUUUAGAGCUUGGACUAUACUAGAUGCUAAAAUAAAGUUAGCUGUUCUUAUGUCCCUAGUUAUUCUAAGAGCUAUCAGUAAGACCCCUGCCCAAAGUCCAUAUAUUCCCACCUGAAUCAUGUCCCUCCUAAGCACAGGAACUAGCAGCAAGAGCUGGAUCUGGGAACGGUCUGAUGUUGUCUGUUAUAGAAAACACUGCUACAAACUUCUGGAAACAAAAUGAAUCAAGCUGAUACAUACGCUUCAUUUCUACUGAAAACACAGAAUUGCUAGGUAAAUUGUGAUUGUUUUAAGAAAAGAUUUAUUCAAGGUUAACAGCAGGGGCAGCAGCAACAAAAACAAUAAUGAAGAAAAAACCUACAGUGUCUAAGAAUGAAGAAACUGAAGUCUGAUGGGCACACUGGAACUGAAGCUGUAGGGUCCAAAGAGUUCUGGAUCUCAGAUAAGCAUCUGAGAUUACAGUUCUGUUCCCUCACAUAAAUUUUAGGAGAUAAGAUCCUAGAACCAUGGGAGGCAGUGGCCUGAAAGUGACACGCUUACAAAAAAACCCAGAGCUACAAAGAGCUACACUGCCUCUUUAAAAGGGACUAAAUAACCACACCCAGCAUCCCUGGGAAGAAACUACAUGGAACUGUGAUAACUACAAAAUGAAAAACUGUAUAUAAAAAUUAUCCAAGAUCACAAUGUCUAGUUUCAGUAAUAGAGGUAUUACUUUUAUUAGAUUUACCAUCCCACAGAUAACAACUACACAUUCUGUAAUAAAUAUAAAACUACUCUAUAUAUACACUACAUAUAUAUAGUGUGUGUGUGUGUAUAUAUAUAUAUAUAUAACUUGCUUGAGAAACAACCAAAAUCAAGCAGAAACUGGAAGGAAACUUAUAUUCGGAAGAAAGAAACAGCAUUGUUUUUGUCUAAGGGCUGGUCCCAGACCAUGUCAACUUGAGUGACUAAAGCUCGGAUAGAAAGUCCAUAGAUUUCUGGCUUGAAGAACCAAAGAACAAACUUCACAGCUAUCACAGCAGCUGAAAAGUGAGGCCAGAAAUCCUAGAAAGGAGACAGCCACAGAGGGGGAGACAACCCCAAAUUUUGCAUAGGCUGACGCUUGAACUAUGUAGGCAUGGGAUACAUUCCAAAGUUACGCAGCUAGUACUAAAAUGACUUUAACAGAUAUUUCUGCUGCUGCUCACCACAGGACAGAUGGGGUCUGGAGUUUGAGUCCAGGCAUGUUAAAUGACUGUAAAACAAAACUAAACUCAACAAAAAAUCCAAACUCUGGAAAGAAGUAUCAAGGAAUCCAGAGUCUCUACAACAUGCCAGUCACAAUGUCACCUAAAACUAUUACACAUAGAAGAAACAGAAAGAUGUGAUCCAUUGUGAAGAGUAGAGACCAAGCCUGACAUGUUGAAAUUAGCUGAGAAGGAUUAUUUAAAACAACUAUUAUAAUAAUGCUCAAAGAUGUAAAGGAAAAUAUGGUUUCAGUGAACGAAUAAGUAGAAAAUCUCACCAGAGAAAAGAAAAAAUUUGCAGGAUGGGCUUAACAGCAGAAUAGCAAUGACAGAAGAAAGGGUCAGUGAACCUGAAUACAGAACAACAGAAAUUAUCCAAUUUGAAAGACAGACAGAGGGGAAAAAAGAUUUUUUUAAAAAUGAACAAAGCCUCAGUAUUUUAUGUGAUAAUAUUUUAAAAAUCUAACAAGCAUAUAAUUUGAAUCCCAGAAAGAUAGGGUAAGAGAGAAAAUGAGGCAGAAAAAAAAUGUUUAAAGAAAUAAUGAUUAAAAAAUUCACUAAAUUUGGUGAAAGAAAUAAAUGUACAGGUUGACGAAGUUCAGUGCAUCCCAAACAGGAAUAAAUACAAAGAAAAUGACACCUAGGUACAUUAAAGUCAAGCUGCUGUCACGUUAAGAAAAAACUAAAUUUUAAAAGCAGCCAGAGAAAAAUAACUUGUGUUCAGGAGAACCAUACUAACGAUGAUGAACUUCUCAUCAGAAAUAAA